rnacentral:rRNA from 1 species
UACGAAGGGGGCUAGCGUUGCUCGGAAUCACUGGGCGUAAAGGGUGCGUAGGCGGGUCUUUAAGUCAGGGGUGAAAUCCUGGAGCUCAACUCCAGAACUGCCUUUGAUACUGAAGAUCUUGAGUUCGGGAGAGGUGAGUGGAACUGCGAGUGUAGAGGUGAAAUUCGUAGAUAUUCGCAAGGACACCAGUGGCGAAGGCGGCUCACUGGCCCGGUACUGACGCUGAGGUGCGAAAGCGUGGGGAGCAAGCAGG